GUGAAAACCAAGAGGUUAAUGAAACGGAAAAUGGAAAUAAAAAACAUUAAGAUGAGAUCUGGAAAUCAGAAUCAAAGCAGUUCUUUACUUGGGAGGGAGUGGGAUCUCUUGUUACAGCCAGGUAGUAGAUGUAAUAUGGUCCUGGUCAGUUCUUUGCUUGGGAGGGAGUGGGAUCUUUUGUUACAGCCAGGUAGUAGAUGUAAUAUGGUCCUGGUCAGUUCUUUGCUUGGGAGGGAGUGGGAUCUUUUGUUACAGCCAGGUAGUAGAUGUAAUAUGGUCCUGGUCAGUUCUUUACUUGGGAGGGAGUGGGAUCUCUUGUUACAGCCAGGUAGUAGAUGUAAUAUGGUCCUGGUCAGUUCUUUACUUGGGAGGGAGUGGGAUCUCUUGUUACAGCCAGGUAGUAGAUGUAAUAUGGUCCUGGUCAACAUUAGUGACCCCUCCUGUCUCAGCCUCCAGUAUUUAUGCUGCAGUAGUUUGUGUCGGGGGGCUAGGAUCAGUUUGUUAUAUCUGGAGUACUUCUCUUGUCCUAUUCGGUGUCCUGUGUGAAUUUAAG
ensembl:lncRNA